rnacentral:rRNA from 1 species
UACAGAGGUGGCGAGCGUUACUCGGAUUUAUUGGGUGUAAAGGGCAAGUAGGCGUCUUAACAAGUUAGGAGUGAAAUCCUGCAGCUCAACUGCAGAACUGCUUUUAAAACUGUUAAGAUUGAGACUGGGAGAGGAAAGCGGAAUUCUCGGUGUAAGAGUGAAAUCUGUAGAUAUCGAGAGGAACACCAGUGGCGAAGGCGGCUUUCUGGUCCAGUACUGACGCUGAAUUGCGAAAGCUAGGGGAGCAAACAGG